UUUUUUUUUUCUUUUAUGUUUCCUCUUCUUCCUCUCGCUAAUCUUCUUCCAUUUUCUUCUGUAAAUUCCCUUCUUUUUCAAGUCUGGCAUCACAAGAGUUGGAGUUAAAAAUGUGAGUCUGCUUAAGAUGAGAUAGCAUGAUUUAGGGCAGAAGAGAAGACGAUGACGAGAACUAUGCACAGAGCAGAAGAGAGUUCAAGACGGAAGUUGCAGAGCCUGCGAUAGAAGAAGACAACAUUCAAGGCCGUUUGGACCACCUAGAGCGCCUAGGGAGUGCCUAAGCGGUCGCCCAACUCCCUACUGAUUUCUGUAACGAUUUGCCUUAAAACACAUCAGGGCUCCACCGCCUAAUGCCUAGGCGCCGUCUAAGGAGAUUUUUAGAACACUGAUUUAUAUUAUAAUAUUUAUUGGAUACUAUUGUAUUUAAUUUCAAAUAUUGAAUGAAAAAAUUAAUCUUGUUUAUUCUUAAGUGUUACGUCUGAUGCAAAGAAUUGCAUCACAUUAUUUGUAAUUUGGGAUGUGUAGUUUGAUGAUCGUAGUGUAGGUUACAUAGAUGCAAAGUUGCAUCUUUACACCAAACAACACAAUGGGUUCUAUAUUAACCCAUAAAACCAUUAUCAUUAGAUAUACAUAAUUAGAGUUAAUUUUUACUAUUGAGAAAUAUGGUUUCCCCACUCUAUUUCUCUCAUUAUUCGUUUGUUAAAUUACAAGUCAUGUCUUAAGAGUACAAAAUAUAUAAAGUUCCCCAGAGUUCGAAUAUUAAAGUGCUUCGACUUCGGAUUAUAGAUUGUUGAAUCCUGAUAGAUGGACGCCUACCGAACUACAACACAAGAAUAGGGGCAAAAUUUUGUCUUUAGGACAUUGCAUAUGCAAGCCUCAAUCUCCAAGUUUGUCAAUUUUUUUAACUUUCUCUCUAGUUGUUUAUAUUAAUAUCAUAUAUAAUUGAUGUUGUGAAUUUCUUUAUGAUUAUUAUCAUUGGAAUUAUAUUGUUAUUUUUCAUAUUUUGUAAUAUUGCUCCAACAAUCUAAAGACAGAAUUUAUCUCUAUGCGAUAAUUAGAAAAUGUGAUGAUGUGUUUGUAAGGUGUAUAUGCAGUAUACGGGAAAAGCAAAGGGAAAACAUAAGCAUUAGUGUUUACUUGAUUCGUGCCUUUUGCAUUGUAUGAUUUUUAAAAUUUGACAGUUAUUAUGGCAAUAAGUCCACUACUACAAAAUUAUCUAUAACUGGCGGUCCAAAAACCGACAAAAGACGUAUAUUACUUUUGGAUUUUAAGCAAAAUCCAACAGAAAAUAGAUGAAGUGGCAGAUAUAAUAAGCGACAGAAUUGCCAGCGUUAGGAAAUGAAAUUUCCGACAGAAAAUAUUCUAAAACCGACAUAAAUUAUGUCAGAUAUAACCGACAAAGAAUAUAUUAAUAAUAAAUAAAUAAGAGCAUUUUUGUUGGUUAAAACCGACAGAACUUGUGUCGGCUAUAACCGACAAAGAAUUUAUUAAUAAAAAUAAAUAAAAGCAUUUUAUGUUGGAUAAAAUUGACAGAAAAUAUAUUAAUAAUAAAAAUAUAUAAACCACUUUCUGCAUCACAAGAACGCCUCUGAUGCAGGACAGAACCAAAGGUCUCAAGGAGACGGGGGAUAGAUAACCUGGGAAUCACUCAACCAGGGGUAACGGAGCUCACUCACGUCGCUAAUCGUGGAUUCGCUCACACGACCAAGCCAAAUGCUUGAUUUUAGAAGGAGAAAUCACUCACUUCAAUUGCACAAAGCAAAAUAUAUUUUAAUUCAUUCAAGUCCCCUUCUCAAGGGUUUAGUACAUAUAUUUAUAAGGAAUACAACACCAUGAAACUCUAGUCCGAAUUGGACUUUUGCUCUACCCCAAAAAUAUUUAAAAUGUUCUUAAAUGACUACUUAAACUAUUUGUGUUGCUCUAAAACUCAAUUAAAUAUAUUUGAUGGUUCCAAUAUGCAUGAGACUCUUGUUAGAUUCCAAUACAUGCAUGAGAGCCUUGGUUACUGCAUCAUUCUCCUCUUCUCUGAAGAAACUCGUCCACGAGUUUAAAUCUUUGUUGACUCCGUUAUAAUCUUGAAAUUGAUUUUUGGCUUUCCAUGUGAAUAAGUACUUGGAAUAUUUUCUUAUUCUUGAAGUGCUACAUUCAUGCUCCAAGAAAAAUCUUGCAAUCCAACUGAUAUCAAUCUUCAUUUGAUUGACUAAAUCAACUAAAACUUGAGAAGCCUUCCAAUUAAAAAUAUCAAAACCAAUAAAAUCAAUGUAUUCAUAAGUGGUAUCUUCUUUCACAUCAACAAUAUCUUGAAAUUUGAUAUCUCCCACUUCAGCAACAUCACUGAAUUCCUUCAAAGAUUUGUGAGAUGAAAACCCUUCUUCUCUCCCACCGAAACUUUUGUUAUUACUCAAGCUAAAACCAUCACAAAUUUCACAAUUACUCAAGCAAUGAUCAAAUAAGGGAGGCAUACUCAAAUGAAUCAAAGACGAAGCCUCAAUAUUUUCACACCCAUAAUUUGAACUAAAAUAAUUCAAACUAACCGUAUCUUGGGCCAAUUCAUUGUAAACUGUUGAACAACAAUCUCCUUCUUCAGUUGACUCAAACCACGGAGCAUAAUCAUGAAAAUGGUCAACACAUUGCAAACAAAUGCCUCCCUCCCCUUCGGAAACCACAACGCCUCGUCGUCGAUUUUUGAUGCGAGAAAUUUGAUUGGUGAGAUGUCGAUGCAUCCUCUUAAUCUCUUCCAUGUCAUCAUCAACAUACUUGUCAUAAACUGGUGGAGAAUUCCAAUCAACCAAGCUAAUCUCUUCAACCAUUUGAUGUUCAAGCAGAUGAAAAAUAUCAGCCAUAAUCUUCUAACUGCAGCGGAAAACUUGCUCUGAUGCCACUUGAUGUAGGACAGAACCAAAUGUCUCAAGGAGACAGGGGAUAGAUAACCUGGGAAUCACUCAACCAGGGGCAACGGAGCUCACUCACGUCGCUAAUUGUGGAUUCGCUCACACGACCUAGCCAAAUGCUUGAUUUUAGAAGAGAAAUCACUCACUUCAAUUGCACAAAGCAAAAUAUAUUUUAAUUCAUCCAAGUCCCCUUCUCAAGGGUUUAGUACAUAUAUUUAUAAGGAAUACAACCCCAUGAAACUCUAGUCCGAAUUGGACUUUUGCUCUACCCCAAAAAUAUUUAAAAUGUUCUUAAAUGACUACUUAACUAUUUGUGUUGCUCUAAAACUCAAUUAAAUAUAUUUGAUGGUUCCAAUAUGCAUGUGACUCUUGUUAGAUUCCAAUACAUGCAUGAGAGCCUUGGUUACUGCAUCAGCCUCAAAGAACAUUGGAGAGGGAGAGAGACAAUAGAUUCGGAACAGCCCAUCUUUCAAAAGUCAUGGAUUUCUUCUGCAAUCUGGACAACCCUGUUUCAAAAGCCAUCUACCAGUAAGUGAAACUUCACACUCGAACUUUUUAUUUCCACCAUUUGUGUAAUAAUUUCGAGCUUCAUUUUCCAUAUCAACACAGAGUUUUGUAUUCAAUUCGGAGUUGAUUCAACCUAAUCUCAACUAUGGGCGUGCAAUUAACAUUUAUUCACCCCAGCACAUUCAUCAUCCAUUCCUCAACAUUAAUGGGAUUUGGCAAUGCCGAUGCGGAAAAAAAAAGACAUAGUUCAGAAAUACUCACAGAGGGGGUUACUGAGAAGCUUUUAUGCCACUUAGAUCCAUUCAUCAAAUUCCUAAUACACGCAUUCUACUUUUUGGGGAUCUAAGUAGCACAGAGGUCACGGCUCAUCAAGGCAGAAUACUGAUUCAAUUAUGCACACGCUUGGCUCGAGAAGGUAUUGGUGGGUACAAGCAAGCAAACAAGAACAGAUUCAUGAGCAUAUUGAACAACAUAUUUGAUUUAUGCAUGCAUGCACAAACCAGAUAUUGCCAUUAUUCCAUAGAUAUAACUUGAGAUAUGGUAUGCACAAGAUCAAGCUCGAGUUUGGGGAAGGAGACCUUAUACGUUUUCUUGCAGAUCUAGAACCUUGAUUUUUCCGCUUGUAUCAGGCGGAUUUGAAAUUCUGCAGUCACUCUAUUCGUGUUCUUGAUCUCUCCGCUGAUUGUUGAACCUGCACUGAAAGCACACAUGCACGAGGGUUUCGUCUAUUUUCUAAUAAAAAAAGGAAACUGGAAACAGAGAUGUCUAAGAAAUGGGGGUGUGGGUUGUUUUGGUUUUGGGUUACAGGCCGAGAAGAUUAGAGAUGAGGGAUGACAUAUGAGGCUGAAGAUUAUAGAGAGAAAUGAAGAGAGAGGAAGAGAGCUCUCAUGGCUUUGGGCUUGAGGCUAGAGAGAAGAGGGGAUAAGAGCUAAACGGCAGAAAUGGGAAAUGAAGGAAGGGGGAAGGGGGAAGGGGGAAGGGGGAAGGGGGAAGGGUUUUAUUUUGGAAUCUUUUCAUUACUGUCGGUUAAAACAGACAGAAACAUUUUUUUUAAAUAAAAACCGAUAGAAACAUUUUCAUUACUGUCAGCUAUAACCGAUAGAAACAAAAUGGAGGCAAAAAUCCCCCCAAAAUUCCCGCCCAAAAUUUUAAAUUCCCUUCCAAAAUUUUAAAUUUCCCCCCAAAAUUUUGUUUCGAUUUAAAAAAAUAAAAUAAUAAUUGUUUCGUUUAAUAAAUAAAUAAUAUGUAUUUAAAUUAAAUACGUUUUUAAAAAUUAAAUAAAUAAUUGUUUGGUUUAAUAGAUAAUAACCCAUGUAAAAUAUGCGAUAAAGAAACAAAAAGAUAAUUGUACAAUAAAAAUAUCAUCACACAAACUAAAUAUUGUCUAAUAAAAAAGAUAACUGUGCAAUGAAAAUGUCAUCACACAAACUAAAUAUUGUCUAAUCAAAAAGAUAAUUGUACAAUGAUUGUCUAAUCAAUACUUGAAAAACAUAAAUAAAAAUUUAGCACAAAUUACUUUUCCCACUUCAAAAUUUAGGCAAAUUUAACAGAGAUAUGCAUUCUACAAAACUAGUUCCCAUGAUCUAACCGUCAAACUUGUUUGUAGAUACUACAAGAUCACAUAUGUAAAAAAUCGCAAAAAAAAAAAAAAAUCCAAAGAUUAGGUAAUGAAACAAAAGUUUUAUACGGUUAUAAACGAAAAAUCACAAUUUAACGGUUAUAUUAGCUCCGAUUUUGAUGAUUUUUUACAGCUACACUCCUCGACCCUAUAAGAAUGCAAUGAACGAAUUCAAUCUUCAAUUUAAAAUAUUUACACUAGUGGAUGCUUAAUGGAAGUAUAAUAUUAACUCUAAGUGUUUGUUUAAUCUACCAUUUUGACGCGAUAUACAUUAUACGAAACUUUUUUCAACGAUCCAGCCGUCAAACUUAUUUGUACACACUCCGAGAUUGCAUGCGUAAAAAAUCGUAAAAAACAAACAUUCAGAGAUUAUAUAACGGAACAAAAGUUUUCGACGGUUAUAAAAAAAAAAAUCACAAUUUAAAGGUUAUUUUAGCUCCGAUUUUAAUGAUUUUUUAUAGCUACACUCCUCGACUCUAUAAGAAUGCAAUGAAUAAAUUUGAUCUUCAAUUUAAAAUAUUUACACUAGUGGAUUCUUACUUUAUACUUGAUGGAAGUAUAAUAUUAACUCUUAAGUGUUUGUUUAAUAUACCGUUUUGACGCGAUAUGCAUUCUACGAAACUUUUUUCAACGAUUCAACCGUAAACUUAUUUGUACACACUUCGAGAUUGCAUGUAAAAAAUUGUAAAAAAACAAACAUUCAGAGAUUACGUAAUGGAACAAAAAAUUUCAACGGUUAUAAAUGAAAAAUAACAAUUUAAUGGUUAUUUUAGCUCCGAUUUUGAUGAUUUUUUACAACUACCCUCGUCGACCCUAUAAGAAUGCAUUGAACGAAUUCGAUCUUCAAUUUAAAAUAUUUACACUAGUGGAUAGAUUUUAUAGUUGAUGGGGAAGUAUAACAUUAACUUUAAGUGUUUGGUUAAUCUACUGUUUUGAUGCGAUACGCAUUCUACGAAACGUUUUUCAACGAUCCAACCGUCAAACUUAUUUAUACACACUCCGAGAUCGCAUACCUAAAAAGUCGCAAAAAACGAACAUUCAGAGAUUAGGUAACGGAACAAAAGUUUUCAAUGAUUAUAAAUGAAAAUCACAAUUUAACUGUUGUUUUAGCUCCUAUUUUGAUGAUUUUUUAUAGCUACACUCCUCGACCCUAUAAGAAUACAAUGAACAAAUUUGAUCUUCAAUUUAAAAUAUUUACACUAGUAGAUACCACAAAUCUUACUUUAUACUUGAUGGAAGUAUAAUAUUAACUCUUAAGUGUUUGUUGACACACCCUGAUCCUAAAAUCAAAGCGUGAUGUAGCCAAAAGUGCGACACGGAAGCAAGAUAUAAUAGAAAUAUGAAAGAAUUUAAACCAACCACUAGCAGUAACAACCUACUAGCAUAAAAGAGUGAGUUAUAAGGUAAAACACACGAAUUCAGAGCGUAGGUAUCAAGUGCAGUCAAGUAGGACUAUAAUUAAAAGUACAACACCCGCAGGUGAGUCCUACAUGCAGAACGUCUGUCAGAACGCCGAAAAGAACCUCGUGAGCCACCAAUUGCUAACUAAAACAUGGAGGGGCGCAAAACAAAGAUGAGUGGGUUAGUAAAACCAAAGAUUUUCCAAAAACAUUUCAUUUAAAACAUUUCUAACCCCUCACCGUAAAACCUGUAUACUUUCCCAGAAAUUUAUUAUAAAAACACAAAUAUAUAUAUCAUCAAAACUCAGCUCACAAUCUUUCAACGCUUUUCAGAAAAAAUAUGUCAUGCCAUGCCAAAAUAUAAUAUGAAUGCAUCAAUAUAAAUCAGGUGAAAUAAUAAAUCAACCAGAGACCCUACAGUGGUCCUGUACGGCUGAUUCUAUAGCUCAAUAUCCCACUCAGCCGGAGUCACCACAGUGACCUAUACGGCCCUACUUUGCACGUCACUCGGAACUACGUAAGGUAGUCUGUACGAUGAAAUGUGUAAGAAUACGCUCUAGUGCUUCUCUCAUCAAUCAUCGGUGCGCAUAACUAAGGUCACCCACUAGUCGGAAUCACAUCUAGCGAUCUAUACGACUAGCAUGUCGUAACCCUCACAUGGCUUGUACGACAUUCACCUACUUGGAUCCAAGGCGAGCAUGCGGUGUGGUGAAUAAUAUAAGCACUAACACCUAGGGUGCAUGUUAUGAGCUUUCAAUGCAAUUCACAUAAAAUAAAUCGUAUGAAUAAUGUAAAACUCACAUGUGCGUCCACAUCGUCAAUUCAUAUAUAUAUGCAUCAAUUAUCAAUUCAAAUAGCUCAUCGAUUGCAUGCAUGGCAUUUUAAAACAUAUUUUCAUAUAAAUGCAUUUUCUGGGAAAAACAGUAGUAUAUAGGUAAUACGAAAACAAAACUGCCCACUCACUGGUAAGUCGAUGGGUCGUAACCCCCGUGACGUCCCUGGAUGUUCUCGUCCUCGGGAUAGGUGUCACCUAUAUGCGAAACAACUAUAAAAACGUUAAUUAAAACACAUAACCAAUAAUUCGAAAUAACUUCUCAUAUGGUGCUCAAUUUGGGUAUAUAAAUAUACCACAUCGACCUACUCAACGUCACGGACGUCGAGAAAUUUUUAGAACAAUUUUUGGAAGCCCCACGCACCGCCACGCGUCGACCAAGGCACGGCCAGACGCGCGGUUACGCGCAGGCCACGCGCCGCGCGUGUCGUCUCCUACCCUGGGCUCGCCGGACUGGUUUUUCAGGCGGCCGGAUUCCGGGCAAAUUUUGCAAUCGCUUGUUCUCCUUCAUUUCUCAACCGUUUUCUUCGAAUUUUUUUUUAUCAAAAUGAAGCCCUAAACAUGUAGUUUCACGCUAUACUACUUUAAGGCUCUAAAAAUCACGAAAUCUCACCGAAGAAAUCCCACGAAAACCGGCCAACUUUGAACAUGGUGAUCCCGAUGUCCAAAACUUCCAAACGAACGUCCCCGAGCUUCCUUAGAACCUCACUAAGCUCACUGUGAGGUUGGAUUGUCCUAAAAAUCAACCAACACAAAGUUCAUGAAUAGUGCCAAACUCGGACCUCGAGUUUUCAAUGUGAAAACGAAGGAUUUCUUACCUAAAAAUGGUAUCUUUGAGUUCAUAGGACACUCACAAACACGAUGGUGAUAAUCUCCACUUCGAUCCAUGAAGUUUCAGGGGUUUUUGACGUUGGUCUGUACGUUUCGAGAGGAAGAGAGAGAGAGAGUGUGUCGUGAGGGAAGAGAGAGAGAAGACACGGGGGAAGGAAUGAGAAGUGUCUCGUGUGUGUGGGUGUGAUCCAUAAAAAAAAAAACAAGUCCAACUCACAACCCUAGCCACACAAACAUACAUAUCACGUUAUUAAAUCAAACUUAAUUCAUUUCCAAGAAUUUAGGAAUGUAUGUUUUAAACCAAUUAUAUGUCACACACACAUACCUUAGUACCCGCUAAGGGUAAUCCCGUCAUUUCACGUUCCCGAUAUAUAUUCUCGGUACGGGCUGUGACAUUUGUUUAAUCUACCGUUUUGACGCAAUAUGCAUUAUACGAAACGUUUUUCAACGAUCCAACCGUAAAACUUAUUUGUACACACUUCAAGAUUGCAUAUGUAAAAAAUUAUAAAAAACAAACAUUCAGAGAUUACGUAACGGAACAAAAGUUUUUUACGGUUAUAAACGAAAAAUCACAAUUUAACGGUUGUUUUAGCUCCAAUUUUAAUGAUUUUUUUACAACUACACUCCUCGACCCAAUUUUAACGAAAAAUCACAAUUUAACGAUUUUAACGAAAAAUCACAAUUUUAAAAAUUUUAAUGAUUUUUUACAGCUCCAAUUAUAAACGAAAAAAAAUAUUUAAAACAUGUGUUUAUUUAUUUAUUUUUAAUCAAUACAACAUUUUAAAAUAAUAAAAUCAAACAUGAUAGAGUACACCAUAUGUUCAUGUGUGUUUAUGUGCCAGACAAUGUGUUUUGUGACACAUUGAAAAAAAUUGCUUGAAUUUCUUUGUAUCUUGUUGCUUGCCUAUAAGGGAGCAUAAUCCUUAUUACAAAAAUGAUAGAGCUUCAGAUUGUAGUCUGUUGUUAUUAUUCUCUCAGAAAAUUUAUGGCUCGUUUGACACACCCCGACCCAGGAUAUGGUGGACCCCGGGCCCGGGUCGGGAUGUGACAAUUUGGUAUUAGAGCCUAACCCUAGCUGUGGUGUGCUGACGGACGUCGGACCCUUAAAAGGGGUGGAUUGUAAGAUCCCACAUUGCCCAGGGGAGUGAUCCUUAUAUGUAUAUUCUCAUCUGUACCUAGCACAAAGCCUUUUGGGAGCUCACUGGCUUCGGGUUCCAUCGGAACUUCGAAGUUAAGCGAGUAGCGCACGAGAGUACUCCCAUGAUGGGUGACCCACUGGGAAGUUCUCGUGUGAAUUCCUAGAAACAAAAUCGUGAGGGUGUGGUCGGGGCUCAAAGCGGACAAUAUCGUGCUACGGCAGUAAAGUGGGCCCGGGAUGUGGUUGACCCCGGGAUGGGAAUGUGAAAUCGUGGGAAUUGGGUUCAUUAGACUUUAGGGUCAUGAGUGAAAAAAAAAAUAUUUAAAAAAUGUGUUUAUUUAUUUAUUUUUAAUCAAUAUAACAUAUUAAAAUAAUAAAAUUUUCAUUUAUGUCGGUUAUAACUGCCAGAAUACUAAAAUAAUAAUUGUCAGAAAGUAAAAUAAUAAAAUAAUCAAUUUAUGUCGGUUAUAACUGGCACCAUUAACUUAAAAACCACCAGAAUCUUCAAAAAUAUUUUUAAAAAAGGAUUAAAAAAUACUGUCGGUUAUAACCGACAAUAUUUUUUUGAUAUCCGCUAGGACUUUAUGUCGGAUAUAACCGACAAGAUUUUUCUAAUAUCCGCCACCAUCAUCCGCCACCUAAAGCUAAUAUUGUAGUAGUGGCCCUUUGGCCUAACCCUCUGUUGGAGACGGUUUUCGUGUCAUUUCGGGCUAUUUUUGGACCUAUGACCCUCUGGCCGGAUUGGUUGGAGAUGUUUGCCUCAUGGACAUGGCUAGGAAGGUAACAUUUAAUUAAACAUGGAGGUAUUUUUGUUCUUAGGCAAUGCCACUUGAUUUGAACGUGGAGCUGUUUUGGUAUUUUCAAUCACUGGAUCUAUUGUAUGGACAAGGUUGAUAAACCCUUGCAAGCCAAAUUAGGGUUUGAAUAAGCACAACGAGCGCAACCGAUUAAUUUGACUUGCAUCUAAGCAGAAAAGGGGCAGAAUUUGCCUUGUCUGAUUCAAGGGCGGAGUGUUGCUCUUCAAAUUUCUUGCGAUACAAGUCGAAGAGCUUGUCUAACAUUUCAUCUCCAAAAUGCUGCUUGAUGAGUCCCUCCACACAUUCGCUCCAGUGGAAUGUACUUAACUAUGUGGCUGUUUCUAAAGAAUGCAUGUGUCAUCUACUGCAAACUGAUGCAAAUUUUUCCUACAACACCUCUUAGAAAUAUUAAUUUGACUUCUAUACGUUUUAUAAUAAUGAGUCACUGAAAAAGAACCCUGUGUUAAUGGUGAUAAUGACCACGGUAAGGUGACGUACAUAAUUUUUCAUUCUUCUUAAAAUCCUUAACUUUAUUUUAUCUCUAUCUUGUGUUUUCUAUAAUUUGAAAUGUAUAUUUAGGAAACACAAGAAACAUUAAUUUGACUUGUAUGGAGUGUUAGUCAUUUUCAAAUUUAAUUCUUUUAAAACAUGUAACGACCUGUCCCCAAUUAUUAUGAUUUUUGUAAUUCUAAAAAGUGAAUUUACGAAAAUGUCCUUCGAGCCAAAGUAUUGACUUUUGUUGAUUGCCAUGUCGUGUCACGUAAGAUUCAUUUUCUUGGUGUAUCCUUGUAGUACUCGUCGCUGCGAACGCGUGGAUGCAAAUGGAAUGCAAUUUGGAGUUAUAAUGAAGGGGAUAUUAACGUUUAAAGUUGGGGGCAUUUUAAUAAAUUAGUUAAUAUCUAGAAAGCUCCAGAUUUUUGGAGCAAAAUCUGGUGAAGCCACGUGUGUGGCUGAGAUUGAAGGAAAUGAAAGAUAGGCGAUGGAGAUGAAGGAUAAAGGAGAGGAAGGAGGGGGAUGUGAGGCCAAUCGGAAGAGGAAAGAGAACUAAGGUGGCCAAUCAGGAAAGAGGAAAGGAGGAAAAAGGAGAGAAAGGGAGAAGGAGAGGAACCCACCGGGUUCCCCUUGACCCGUACCCAACCCGGCUUUUCCACACCUUCUGAUGCCUUUUCAGGCGAUUUUUUCGACGAAUUGCUGCCAUCCAUCACCUGGAAAACAUUCCACUACCCUCCCUCUUUCUUUUCCACCUAAAAUUAUAAUGGAUUUGGUUGUAUUUUGGGGAAAACAUCUCGACGGGAACCAUGGGGGCCGUGAGGACCCUCGACUGAGAUCCAUCAAACCUGAAACAUUUUGAUUCAAUUAACAACACCAAUAGACUAUCCAUGAACCCAGAAACAAAGCCUAAUUAGUUUUAGGGGAGGUGGAACAUCGAUGAAGGAGAAUUGAAGCUCACCCUUUCUAGGGUUUCCAGCAGGUUUGAGUUAAAUUGGAGCCUUUCCCGGCCAAAUUGGCCUUAGUCACAGACGUCGAUCGUUUGUGACGCCUUGAUAUUUAUACGAGGGAGUUGUAGCGUGGACUUCAGGUGAGUGGGCUUUUGGUUUUCUAUAUAUAUGUUUUCCAUUUUCUCAGAAAUUGUUUUAAAUGAAUUUACGUUUUCUAAAUGCCAUGUUAAUUGCAUUACAUUUAUUAUAUGCAUUAGUAUAGAGUUGCGUAUUAUUGCAUAACACUGCGAAUGCCCAGGUAAGCUUCAGGUGAAUACAUAUUGAUGAUAUUGAUUGCAGUGUGUAUGGUUAUGUUUAGAUGCAUUUAGUACUUAUUAUCCUGCAUCCCAGUGUUAGUGCUCCGCCCCGGGCCAGCCAGUCUUCACGUGAUCGUUCACCUCCUGCACCACACGCUCACCUUGGCUCAAAGGCAGGUGUCAGCCUGUCGUACAUACCACAUUAGAUGGUUCCGACUCGUACGUGACUUGCGAUACUUUGCAUAACCUUCACGUGAUCGUAGCACCUGAGCGUAUCUAUUUACACCCAGCCUGUUAUACAGACCACAUUAGGUGUUCCGACUUGUGUGCAGGAAUUGGUUAAUGAGCUAUAAGUUCAGCUGUAUAGGUCCCGUUAGGUGACUCCGGCUGGCAUAUCAUUUUACAUUGAUUUAUUUCACCUGGCUUACUUAUUUCAUUGCUGAGAUACUUGACAUGGCAUAUAUUUAGUUUUCAUUACUCUCGAGCAUGAUUUCUAUAUGCAUAUGUAUUACUAUUUUCUGGGAAAUUAUACGGGUUUUACGGCGAGGGGUUAUAACAUUUUCAAAAGGUUUUUAUUAAAAACUUUAUUUUCAGGCCCACUCACCCUUGUUUUGCGCCAUUCCAGGUUUUAGCUGCUGAAAGUUCGUAUCGAUCAGGAUUCGUGGCGAAUCCCAAUAUAUGUGGCUACCUCCGAGGGUAUGAUCCUUACCCACACUACUGUACUUUACUUAUGCUCUAAUCUUGCAUGUGAAAUGGGUUCAUUCCCGCUCACAGCGCAUUCUGGUAUUUAGGUACUUUUAGAUUUAAAUUUAUUCACAUUUUCACAUCAUUAUACUUUAUGGCUUCGGUCACCUUCCAGGUGUCGGCCAUCAUAGCUCGAUUCGGAGUCCCAGUGGACAUUCCGGGUUGGGAUGUGUCAAAACAUGCUAUCAAACACAUUUUACACUUCGUUUUUAUUUGAAAAACAAAAAAUUGCUUUUAAAAACAUUACCAAACGGGCAAAAGACACCUGUAGUUGUAGCCAAAGCAAUACACGGACAUGGUUUCUAACAUAUAACAUGUAUGCUGUCAAUACCUGAAUAUUAUAUAUGAUGAGGAGUGGCAUGCACAGUAGGAAGCAAAUUAAACUCGUCAAUAAUAUGGAAACUUAUCACAGGUCCUUAAAGUAAAAGACAUAAACACAAAGAAGAAAGCGACUAUAGACUCGAAAUAAAUAGCGACACAGCACCGUGCUUAAGUCAAUUUGCCUUGCGUCUAAGCACAACCGAAUAGACAAUUGCCUUCCCUGCCACAACAAUGGAUUGUUGCUCUGCAAGUCUUUUUCCAUACAAGUCAAAGAGCUCGUCCAAGAUUUCGUCUCCAAAAUGCUGCUUGAUGAGUCCCUCCAGGCUACCUCUGAUGUGAGAUGCAAGUAGUAGGGGAUUUUUAUAGACAAUGUCAUGUGCAACGAAGUGAUGCAAAUUUUCCCUUCUCUCUAAGCUAAAGCAUCCAUUUCGUUCUAUAGAAGCUUCUAGUUCUUUGGAAGACAUUAAGUAAUUGGGUAGGUUAAAUGAAUCUACUUUCUCUUCAUCAACAAUUCCCUGCAUGCAUAAAUUGAAAACACACAUGUAUGUAUAGCAGCUUUGGCAUUGUAAAUAUUCAAAACUAAUGAGAUGUUAUUUGGAUUAUAUUUGUACAUGGUUUAAUAUAACAGUAAGAACAAAUUAUCAGUAAUUGCUUACCUUCCUAGCCAUAUCCAUGAGGCAAGAUCCCAAAAUUUGAAAGAUCACAUUUGGCAGAGUUUGAGAAUGAGGGGUACCGUCUUGGCGACCUGGAACAUUAAGUACCAUGAGUCCUCCAUUCACAAUUUCUUGUGCCCUCGCAUUCAGGAAGCAAUCCAUGUCCUCAACAUGUUGUGCUUCAUAAGCCCUUACUACUUCAUCUGGGGCAUCUGAGUAAAAGAUUCGACCUUUAUUCCAGGCAGGACUGUUUUUAUUCACUACCUCUUUUGGGACUCGAGAAAUCCAUGGAAUGGAAAAGGAAGAGUAAAAAAGGUGGAUGGAAUUAUUAGGAAAUAGCCGACCAUAGAAGGAGCCUGGCACCCCAGCGGCAUAGUAUUGCCUGUUGUGUGAGAGGGAGUUGAAGAGCAGAUUAAAAUCAUUUGAGUUAAGAUCAUUAAAGAAAACCUGAAACUCAGGUAAUUGGGAGCUCAACGCUAGGGUUUUAUAUUUCAACUGCAGAGCUUGAAUUAUGUUUUCAACUGAAAAAAAUGUACUGGGCCCAACGGAGCAACCUAAAUCUGCAAUUCUAAAGGUCUUGGAAGAUAACAAGGUUUCCAGGCCAAGUUCUGCGAUUGCCUUGUUUACAAAUUCCUUGGAAGCCUCCGCACCUCCUCUCUGCACAAGGAGAAAUGUUCUAAUAUAUAGCUUGUGUUUUUGGUUUCAGCAAGUACUUAUAACUUCUAAUGCUGAAAAGCAAUAAUUACAUAUAUGUUUAUAACAAUGUUUCUUUCAAAAAGCGUAUUCUUCUAUUUUCUUCACUACAAUUUGAUGUUUUAUUAGUUUUGAAUUUGUUGUCUAAUUUUUGGUAAAGAUUAUUUAUGAAUGGUGUAUGAUAAUAUAUAUGGUUUAGAUUGUCGAAAUAAGUUACGGAAUGUUCACCGCAAGGUGUCCAAAUAAAUUAUUUGAGAAAUCCUUCAACUAAAAUUAUUUGAGAAAUCCCACAACUAAAUUAUUUGAAUGAUCCCUCAACGAAGGGGACUGUUCGGUGACUGUUCGGGAGGUUAGGACUAAAUUCACAUAAUUAAGUUAUAACGCCCAUUUGAGAACCAUCUCGAUCGGUUUUAGUUGUAGUUUUAGUUUUAUAAAACUUGUUCGGUGACUGUUCCAAAAAAAAAAAAAAAACUUGUUCGGUGGCUACUUUUAGUUUUCAUAAAAUAAAGCCAAAAAAAUUGAUAGCUUUCAAAAUUAGUUUUAAAUAUUAAAAAAUUACCACUUAGUACUACGGUUUAGUUUAGUGGUAUUCCUUUGCACUUGAAUCUAAAUAUUAAAAAAUUUGAUAGCUUUCAAAAUUAGUUUUAAAUAUUAAAAAAUGACCACUUAGUACUAUGGUCUAGUCUAGUGGUAUUCCUUUUCACUUGGAUCUAAAAGGUGUUAGAUUCGAUUCUCGCAAAAGACAAAUUUGAACCACAUCGCUAGUCCAUAAUGAGGCUAAGCCCAUCUCCUCCCUUUUAGUGUAAAUAAUAAUUUUUGUUCAAAAAAAAUAAAAAUGUAAAAAUAUAAAAAAACUGAAAACUAGAAUUGGAAAGAAUUACGAAACAAUUUUCAGUUACAAACAAUUAAAAUGGUUAUCAAAUGGAUUCUUAAUAGCAUGCAAUUAGUUUCGAUUUAAGUACCACGUACUAAAACAUAUUUUACAUUUUAUGUUUGAAAUUCCAAGAUAAGGCCCGUUCGACAUGGAUGAAUCAACUAAGGUUUGGGUAUCUUAUAUAUACAUGCCCAUAUAUAAAGCUACAUGCAACAAUUGCAUUAUAAUUAAUGUUCUUUGGUCAAAUUAACAAGAGAAAAGGGACGUUACACAAGUCAUGCCCAGAAACAGACCGCUCGGUCGAAAUGCAUAGAGAAAAAGACAAAACGAUACAAACAAGCAAGUAGCACUAGACCACCACAGAAAGGAAAAAAAGGAAAGAAAAAAAACGACGGCAAUAAGCUACUAGAACGACAGUAGCUCAGAAGGAAGGAGCCAAACCCUAGCGAAAGACAGAUGAUAAAUAAUUAUUAAUUUGCAAAAGAGGUGAUCUCAAACUAACAAAGUUAUUUUCACAACUCGAAUCGAUGACCUUUCAGUCAAAUGACAUUUUCGUUGCGCAGAGGUAAUUAUUUCUGGACCCUAAAAUUAAUUGAUUAGAGAUUCAUAGAGAACUGAAGAUACCUGGUAAAUGGAGAUGUUGGCAUAGCUGUUGGCUCCAUUUCCACCUUUCAUUGGAUAAGCUUCACAGACUUUGCUGUUUUCCUCUGUUGCUGCCAUCUCUCUCUCUCUCUCUCUCUCUCUCUCUCUCUCUCUCUCUCUCUCUCUCUCUCUCUCUCUCUCUCUCUCUCCCCCCGAAUAUUAUAAGUUGUAUGUAUGCGUUUAGAGAAAUAAAAAUGAUCAGUUCUUGUUCUGGAUUAUGUGCCAGCUGCUAUUUUGUUUGCAUCCCCAACUGCAUGCGUAUAAUGUGUCGUCAAGAAUCUGCACGCAGUGUACGUGUCAUAUGAUAAAUGAAUUUGAUCAACAAAAACCCAAGAACAAAAAGUUAUAUGGUAGUGGACGCUUGUAUCGACCUUGUAUGCGCCUGCAAAAGUUACGUGUCUGUAGGAAUUUUUUACAUAUGUUCUUUGUUUCUUUGGAGGCCAAUAUAUAGUGCAGAAAGAUUGUAGAAAAAGAAGGAAAAUUAGUUAUAAUGGAAACAAAUCCUAUUGUCUAUUGACUAUGGUAAGAAAUAUAUCUGUAAACACAAAAAUCCUGCGACAAAUGACAAGAUAAUACGUGUACAAAGUAAAUGUUUGUAUUAAUGAAUUAGUAGGGUUACAAUCUCUUUACAACUUGAUCCCCUAAUUUGAUCUCCGAAAUGUGUAGAUGUGUAGUGUUGUUGAUCCAAGGGUUGCGAUGACUUAAUCUUGGAUGUACGAAUGCCGCAAGGUUUUGACUCUUGGCAAUGGAGGAACCGGCACGUGUAGGGGUGCUUGGUGAUUUUUCACGGGUUGGACGAAGAACACGGAAGGUUUCCCAAGUCUUCUUGAGUGUUUGAGUGUUUGGGGUUUGAGUGCUUGAGAGCUUCAGAGUUUCAAAGCUUCAGCGUCUGGACGUGAAUGAUUUUCUGGACCCCUUUCUUUAUCUUGGAGCCUCCUAUUUAUAGACUUACCAAGCCUUGACUAUGCAUGGAUUUGGCCUUGAUUGUGGGCUUGAUUAAUUGACGAAAAAGCCAGUACUUGAUUUGUGGGCCGGUUCUUGAUUUGACUCCAUCAAUUAACAUUUGAUUUAAUUAACUUAAAAUCAAAUAAUUCAUUUCCGCCAAGUGUUGACACGUGUCCUUCUUGAUGAGUCGUUCGAUUUUGUUAAGUCAAUUGCCAUGUGUACAAUUUAUGAGACACAUGGCACAUGGCACAUAUGCCCUGACAUAUCAAAACUUUAAUGAGUUGGUAAACAUUUAUUUCACCGAAAUUUCGAUGUCUACAAUAUUACAAUAGGUAAAGAUUUUUUACAAGUAAUUGAUAUUAACAAGCAGCUGAGCCUGUGCGAUGCCAUGGGUUUCAAAACUAUGUUAAAUGUGUAAGAAGUUUGAAUAUGUGCCAAAGAGUAGUGUCUAUAUAAUAUUACAUGAGAAAAUUGAGGAUGAUGAUAUGCCCUAGUCAAGGAAUUCUAUUUACUUUCUUAUAUUACAUGACAAAAAUCAGGAUAGUAGUAUGCCAUAGUUAGGGAGUUCUAUUUACAUUUAUGUCAUAUCCCAGAGAAUCUUUUAUGUCUAAAACUGUACAAAACUCAAAAAGUAAGGUUUGUUCCACCAAAAACACCCAUAUGCGUAACUCCGCUAAUGGUAUCUCCUUUGUCCUGUAUGACAAUAAGGAGCUGAAAAUAAAAACAAAACUAUUAAAAAAAAAAUUCAAUCGCUUAUGAAUUGAAUGACCCUAAAUUGCACAUGAAUAAAUUGGAUUACAAAUGAUACCAAGAUGAAGGCAACUUUGUGCCAUAUUUAAGUAUGUUAAAUUUCAUUUGUGGCCACACAAAAAAAUUGACAAAUUUGAACUUGGGUUCUUCACAUUUUGUAUUAAUAUUGAAGGUCAUGUUGAAAGCUCCAAAAUAACUAACCCAACAUCCAAUUUAGUACACUCCUAAGAAGACCAUUAGCAAAAAAUAAUUGGUCACCUCAAUCAUUUGAUUUGUUUACGUACGUAACUCUAAAUUUAUUUAUAUAUUUUACUUUCAUUAGUGACACUAGUGACGCCCAACACACAUGAUAUAAACAAAAGUACAACUACAAUUGUGAAUAUAAAAGUUUCUCCCCAGAUAGUAAGCCUCUAAUAAAGCUCAAAUUACGUCAUGUUCUUUAGUAGUAUCUAUUAAGUUUUGUUGAUGCACAAAACCGGAAGUCUUGGAAUAACGUAAAUCCGACCAUGAAUCUGCAAGUAAUGUAAAUAACACAAGAUGUAUCGUGGUUCACCCCAAGGUUUGGGCUACGUCCACACUGAUUAUGUAUUUCUGAGAGUAUUGAGGAUGAGAGAGUUUCUGAGGGGUGAGAGGGCCUAGGGAUUGACCUCCUCUUAUUGUGAGGGUGAGGGGUCAUUUUAUAGAAUAAGAACUCCUCAUUUAUUACAUAUUUGCCCCUUCCUUUAUCAUAUAAUUACAUUUAAGUCCCCCUGAGUAUUUAUACGAGGUCUAAAUACAAGGCCCUAAAUAUGGUAUAAACAGUAGUCCCCCAAGUCUUCAGUCAAGAGAGUCUUUUGGCUGGAGACUUGAAAUUCAGUCAAUGUGUGGGCCGAAGUAACUAGAUGGCGUCUGGUGCUGACACUCGACAUGAGGCGGUGCCCAAUCUGAAAUGAUGCUCAACUAGAAGUAGCACAUGUUGCGAGACUACUCGGCUUGUGGCUUAUAUUGCCUUGGUUGGCUUGGCUUGUGGCGCUUGAAGGUGAGGGGGUCCCUUUUAUAGAAUAAGGGCCCACUUCUCAAUACAUAAAUGAUGAGCUAACGUUGAUGUUCGCGGCGAAACGACUGCUCAGUAGGCGGCGAUGCUCUCUAAUGGGUGAGAGAGUCUCUUUUAUAGAAUAAGGGAUCGCUCCUCAAUACAUAAGUGGUGGGCUAAGUCCCCCAAGUAUUUUUCAUGAGUGCUCUCUAAGGAAAGUGAGGGAGUCCCUUUUAUAGAAUAAGGGCUCGCUCCUCAUUACAUAGAUAAUGGGCUAAGUCCCUCAAGUAUUUUCAUGAGGCCCAGUUGAGGCCCAAUAUAUGGUACAUAAUGUAGCCCCCAAGUCUUCGGUCAAUAGAGUAUGUUGGCUGGAGACUUCAAAUUAAAUCCAUGUAUGGGCCGAAGUGGCGGUUGUUCGGAUGCGGUAUUUGUAUACCAUGCACUGAAGCUUUGUAAGUGAAGCUUUGAAGCUAGAGCUUUGUAAAUGAAGCUUUUGAAGCUAGAGCUCUGUAAAUGAAGUUUUUGAAGCUGAUUGACAUGAGUGAUGCUCAUGAAUGUUUAUGUUGAUUGACAUAAGUGAUGCUCAUGGAUGUUGUCAUGAGUGAUGCUCAUGAAUGUUUAUGUAUGAUUGAUAUGAGUAAUGCUCAUGUAUAAUAUGAAGUACUGGUCGUACUUUUGAUCACCUGGUUGGUGGCAUGAAUGGCUAGUUGCCAAAUGAUAUUAGAGUACGGGUUGUACAUUUCAUCGCCUGGUUGGUGGUGAUAGCGGUGGGUUGUCGAAUAAUUUUGGAGUACUUGGCGUACUUUUGGUCACCUGUUUAGUGGUAAUAGUGGCGGGUUGCCGAAUAAUUGUGGAGUACUGGGCGUACUUUUGAUGACCUGGUUGGUGCUAUUUUGGGUUUAUGGGCCUUCGCUCUCAACAACAUGCUAGCCCAUUAAUUUUGGGUUUUGCCUUUUUUUUUAUUAUUAUUACCCUCUGAUGGGGUUUAUACAUAUUAGCCUCUGAUGGGGUUUAUAUAGAUGUCUCCGAAAGAUAAAAAAUAAAUUACAUCAUUCUGGUGGGGUGUUUAUUCCUUGCUUUUGCAGUGUCCCCAUGUGCUUCCCUUUUGCUUUCUCUUUAUUUUUCUUUCUUUUGGCAAAUGAUAGACAAGGGAAUAAUCUUUUGAUUUUGCUUUCUCUUUCCGCUCCGCUCCUUCUCUGUCCACCCAUGUUCUAUGGCCUUGGAGACUAUCUGACUUUAACCUUUUAAUUGCCAUUGCUUUUCUUGCUUUUCUCUAAAAUGACAGCUGCUUGGUAUGAAUGGCUUUUAUGACUCCAGUUGGCUUUAACCAUCAGUCACGUGCACAUAUCUCAGAAUCCAAAAUCGAUUCAUGCAGUAGGAAAUACCCCAUCCACUCCGAAAUUAUUACAUCCACUGUCUCUGGCAGGACAACAUUCUCCAUGGAGCCCUUAAUCAUCUCCUCCCCUUUCUCCAUCUGCUUUUCCAUCUCUUUCUUCCUUUAAUGCUUUUGCUGAUAGUGGGAUGGUGGAUUAAAACCACCCACGUAGGUUUGUUUGAACACAAGCUGGUGCACUCAAGCUGUAAAAAUGUAAAUAACAUAACGUGGCUUCCCAUUCCAUUCUUUGUCUUUAGGACCCCACCUCAACGACCAUUUGCUACCCCGUCAUGCUUCAUGUGCAAAUGUGCGGCCAUCAUGCCACCUUUCAGAUGCAGGCGGUGAUCCAGCUCCACCAUGAGAUCUGGGUUGUGCCAUCCCGUUCCUUGAAGCUCGAGCACAUUGGGGACAACCAAAAUCUCGGAGAAAACGAAGAGAGAAGAAUGAGAGGUGAGUUGGACUAUGAGGCUAACAAGAGAGGACCCCUAGAGACUAGAGGCUUGCUUCAUGAAGUGCUCGAUCACCUGGGCUUGCUUCUACUUUACCUCCAUUGAAAAAACCCUUCACAUCGUGAGACACUAGUAGCUGCAACUGCAACCCGUAGCUUCCGUCUUCUUCACCAAUACCCCACCUGGACAUCACCGUUGUCGGAACGACAAAGAAUAAGGACGAGGCCGAGCAGAUUACGGUCAACUGCAACCUAGAUGGGAACGCUAAAGCCUUUAAAGGGAAGUCCAGUAUCUUGGAAGUGGUCCAGGUUAUGGGCGUGGUUAUUGUUGUCUUCUUCCUCAUCAUUGUAUUUGCCUUCGAGUCCGUCGUCCUUGGAAGUUGUCUUCUUCUUCAUCGCUGUUUCAAGUCAAGCCUCUCCAAGUUUCAGGCUCUAGAGAUCCAUCACAGGAAUCGGAUCCUCUGACUCAUGAACCGAGUUGACUCGGUCAUCCAAAUCAAUGGCCUAGGUUGAAUCUGGAAGUGAACGAAACGGUGGAUGGGUAGGAUUCAAAAGCCUUUUUUUCCUCAGAACAAUGGAGGUCAUCGUCUUCUCCUUCUGGGCGGCGAAGACUGCCCACUUGAUGUGGAGGCUAGUGGGGAGCGGGACAGAGAAGGCGUCGAGUUGGGAUUGUCUAGAACAGCGUCAUAAGAGCCGUAGAUCUUAGCGGUCGGAGCGAAAUGGUUAGCCUUGGCGACACGUGUAGAAUUGUCAAUAGAGCGGCUUCUGACAGUGUAAAAUGUUGCGUUUGGGGCUCGAGCUAUGGCCUGCAAAUCACGUGGACUUUCAGGAAAGAGGACGCAAAUCACGACCACCAAAGAUACCUGCCAACAAUUACGUUAUCUCCCUUAUUUUCUUUUUCCAUUUGCUCUUUCUCUUUCAAUCUUUUGUAAUGAAGCUUUUCAGAACCUCUCUGACAAGUUACCAAUUUAACAAGGGCUGUUUGUUUUCUCCACCUCUAGUUUUCAGAUCUAGGAAGUAGUAGUUGCAGAGAGAUUAAUUGUGAAUUAGAGAGAGAGAGAGUGUGAAGGAAGGAAAGAAAGAUUGUGUCUCUGGGUGGGUUUUGCAGAUCCACGGUGGACGGUGGUGAGGUUGUGAAGGUUUCACUACAUAACUUUUCGUGUCGUUUCCCACAGACGGUGCCAAAUGUUGAUGCACAAAAUCGGAGGUCUUGGAACAACGUAAAUCCGACCAUGAAUCUGCAAGUAAUGUAAAUAACACAAGAUGUAUCGUGGUUCACCCCAAGGUUUGGGCUACGUCCACACUGAUUAUGUAUUUAUGAGAGUAUUGAGGAUGAGAGAGUUUUUGAGGGUGAGAGGGCCUAGGGAUUGGCCUCCUCUUAUUGUGAGGAUGAGGGGUCAUUUUAUAGAAUAAGGACUCCUCACUUAUUACAUAUUUGCCCAUUCCUUUAUCAUAUAAUUACAUUUAAGUCCCCUGAGUAUUUAUACGAGGUCUAAAUACGAGGCCCUAAAUAUGGUAUAAACAAGUUUGAUCCCCCGGCUUAAUCCAAGUUUAGACUUUAUCAUCAAUCUAUUUCUUGUUAGAUAAGCCUAUACCAACUUAGUCAUGCACUGGGUUAGUUGGUUGUGCAAAAUCAAAUCAGAUUAAUAAGCUAGUACUUUGCAACAGGAAUUGGAAUGACCAUGGAUUUCAUCAAAUUGCAAAUAGUUAUAAGUCCAUAUUAUGCAAAUCAUUUUCACGGACAACCCAAAUGAAAUAAUCAUAUCUAUAUUACGCAAUGUUUAUAGGACAUAGUUCCCUAUUAUAGGGAUAUAUAACUCAUUCAAGAAGAUGGAAAAAAAAUGUUUAAGUUAAAAAACUAAUACGUGUGAGACUUUCUGGUUUUUCAACCUUGCAAACUCUUUUGCCGCCUGUCCUAGCCUUUGGCUUGGGUGUUCGUGGCUAUCCUUGUCCAAGUUCCUUGUUCUCCUCUUUCCCUCUUUCUCUUGAUCCUCUUAUCUCUUUUUUUUCAAUUUUUCCUUGAGAUUUUUCUUAGUUUUCUUGAGCUUUGUCUCAAAUUUUCCCGUGAGUUUGUCUGUCUCACUUUUAGACUUCAUGUCCCUCCUCUCCACCCCUCCCUCUCCUCUGGCCGUUCUUUUCUCCACCCAAAACUCCAUUUCCCCUCACUUUUCUCCUCUGCCUCCCUUCCCCAUAAACUAUCCCCACUCUAUCCCUUGCUGUGAUCUAUAGACUCUAGGCCAAAUAUGGUUGCCAACUUUAUUUCCCUCCCUCAUUAUUCCCUCCCCCCCCCCCCCCAAGGCUUGCUGGAUUUUCAUUGAGAACAAGUGUAACUGCAAUUUCGGCUAAAGUAAGGGUAUUUUAUAUACGCCUUUAGCCUCACCUUCUAUUAAUGUGUUACUGUGUUUGUAUAUAUUUGCUGAGAUUCGUGAAUGGGAUUUGGAUCUGGUGACAAUCUUUUGGUUCUGCAUCUUUGGUGAAGAAAUCUAGAUGUGGUGUGCUUCUUAUUGCGGGUUUGGUAUGUUUGUGCUAUGAUGUCUUGCUCGUUUUCACCACUCGGUUGUUUUCUCUAGUGUUGCUACUUCGGUAACUGUUGGCAAGAUUUUCGUGGCGAUGACGGCGACGGACAUUGCUUUCUGCAGUCGAAAAUUAGGGAUUUGGGUUCCCGUUUUAGUUUAAUUGGGCUAGGGUUUUAUGUAUCUAUUUCCCCAAUGUAUUUGGGUUAUUUUGCCUUCAUUUGAGUUGGUUUGUAACCUACUAUGGAUUAAUGCGUUUACCUCUUCAGACCCAAAAAAAAAAAAAUUGUUAAGAAAAUUUAUUUGUGAGUGUUGGGAUCCAUACUUUAUUCGCUGGGGGUUUGAUCUGGGUUUGUUGCAUUCUCAUCGUCGGUCUCUUCAAAUACAAAGGUCUCUUCAUUGUAUCCAAUUAUGGUAUCACUUGAAUCAUGUAAAAUGGAGAGAAAAUAAAGCAUUAGUGCACAUCUAGAAAUGAAAAAAAUGUUUAUUUCAGCAAUUUGUUUCCUUAUAGAGACUAAUUUUUGAAGGGACAACACUUUCAAAGGACAUUGAGAAUCCAAAAGCAUUGAUGAUAAUGGAUUGCUAGCCUGUGUAGCUGUUAGCAAUUGGCAAAGAGACUAAUGUCAUGCUGCCCGUGCUCGAACUCAAGUACUAUAAAACCCUAAUCAGACUCAAUUAAUCUAGCCAAAGCUUUGUAGUUGCUAGCAAUUAGUUAUUAAAAAAAAAAACUAAUGAAAAUAAUUAGAAAAUUUUGAAUUUUAACGAUAAGAAUAGAAUAAAAAGUAAAGUGAAUAGUACUAGGAUUGACUUAUUAGUGUGAAAAUGUGAUUUUUCGUUAGAGUGAACAGUAUCAGAAAUUUUUCGUUAAAGUUCCCUAUUAAAAAUCCUACACUAAUCAAACGUACCUGCACGGAUAUCCAGCUUUAUAUGCGCACUACCAAUAAUAAAAUGCGCAACACAAGUUAAUUUUACUAGUUACAAUGCUGAAUAUUAGUCAAAUUGAAAAUAUUUGAGAUAAUUGAGUUUUAAGAAAUUAACGAACUUUUUGUUCUAUUAGAAACAAUGAAAUUUCAUCAUGAUAAUUAAAUAGGCAAAUGGUUUCAAAUCGUUGAAAUUUCACGUAAGGUGGGCCUUAAACUAGUCUUUAUUUUGGAGAAGGUUUCUCUACCUUUUUUUUCCCUAUUUUUCUAUUUGAACGGUCACGGUCAAAUCACGUUAACAUUUUAUAUUUUUUUUUUAUAGAAAGAGAAAGACAAAAGAAAGAAUGUAAGCAGUGGAAAUGGAAGGGAUGGAAAGAAGAGGAGAGAUUGCUAGCCCUUCUAUUUUUACCCAGAAUGGAGAUCCUUUGGAUGAAGGCCCGUAUACACACACAUAUACUCUCUUUCUUUUUCUCUCUGGCAUUUCUGCUUCUACAAGAUCUAGGUGUGUUCUUUAUUUUCAAUUUCUUAUAUGCUGUUAUUUUGCUGAAUUUAAUUUAUCGCAUAAAACAUGGAAUUAGUAACAAAUUUGAACAAAUUAGCUUCUUGGUAUUCCUAAAAUGGUGUCAGAUUAUUGAUUCAGGGGGCUUUGUUCCAUGGUCACCACCUGUAUGAUGAAAGUCCUCUAAGGAGUGCAUUAUUGAAAACUAUCGUGGAGUCAGAACAAAAUAAAUAAUAAAUGAUAAAUAAAAGAGUCAGUGUCUUAUUAAUCAGUUGAAUACUAUAUUCAACUGUUUUAGUUUAAUACAGAUAACUUGAUAACAAGUUUGAACAAUGAAUACAAUUCUUUGACUUUGUUUGUCUUCUGUUGAUUUUGUGAGUUGGAUUUAGGAUCAAGUAUUGAAUCUGGGUUCAUCCGCAUCAUUUCCGUAUCGAUAUGAACUAUAAUAUAUCUUUGAUCAGUCUUGCUAGUCUUAUACAUUAGUGUUUGAGACGUUAGUUGGAUUUGGAUUUGUUGUUCGUGUUUUGAUGUAGAACAUGCUUUUGUUUGUUUAAUUCACAACUUGUAGGAAUUUCCCAAUGCUUGUAUUGUAUCAGUAUUUGUAUCUGGAAAUUAGUUUAUUACUAGCAGGAAUGCCCGCGCUUUGCUGCGGGUUUUCAAACUAUAAUCGACAACCUACAUCAAUAAUAUCCACAAAAAAAUUAAUUGAAAUUGUUGUAGCAAUACAAUCGAAUUCUUAAAUGUAGCAAUUUAGAUAAUGCACGUUUUACCUAAGUAAUGCUCACAAAACCACAAACAAUCCCAGAAAAGAUACUAACAUAGAAUCAAUUCAAGUAUAUUAGGAGCACGUUUGCACUCAAUAGAGGGAACCAGUUGAAAGGAAAUCCGUAGCUCUUCUAACGUUAUUGUUUGGCCUAAAGAGAAUUUGUGGGCAAUAACCCUUAAAAGAUGUCGAACAAAAAAUAAAACAAAAUUCACAAAUUAUCAAAAUAAAAUUCAGCAACAAAUUGCAAAUAAAAAGCAAACAGUACACAGUUCAUAAACAAUCAAAAUUAAAAGCAGGAAAGAGUGAGAGUAGUGUAUCAGGCUGAUGUCUGACUCGUUAUGGAGAGCUUCAAUCACUGAUUGUGGCAACUCGGCUGAAAGAGUUUUGAGAGAAAAAUAGGCAUUAUCGUAACUAUUUUGAGAAGUGAAUUUCACUUCCACAACUGAAAUUUCAAAACCCACCACAGAAGAAGCAUAUGAAAACAACAAAAAAGAAAUUUAGUCAAAGUUAUUUUUUUCUGAUCAUUAGUAUCCUAACCAAAGCAAUUUUCAACUUCAACAUUCAAAAUGAAAACGUAGAGAUUUAUAUUAAUCACUCAAAGUGAUGUUCACAUUUUGUACCACUAAAGCACUACUGAUUAACCUUUUCGAGGUCCUUAUUAACACUUGAAAACUCUUGGGACACAUAAAACUGAAAAAUGCAAAUAAGUAAAUUGCUUCAAAACAUAUAUAGGAUGAUGUUACCUUCCCAAUCAAAACCCAUUUGCAUCUUGCCAAAACUAUCGGACUUGAACUUAAAACUUUUUCGAGGUUGUACUGCUAGGAGGACCCAAUUGGCCUGAUUAAAAAGCACUUCUUUCCCAAAACCUUUGAACUGUUCAGAGUCCUUUUGUUCUGAAUCAAGAUCACUAAUUCCAAAAUACAAUUUCAAGACCCCUACAGUUGGACAUCAAGAAGACCACUAAUUCUGAAAUACAGAUUAAAUUUCUCUCCAUGUUAAAAAGCAAGUAAGCAGAGAGACAAAGGAUGUGGUUUCUAUUACCAGCAGGAUUAGCUUGUAAAAACUUGUUCACUGUGUUCUGAAUAUUGGUCUCCAUUGUAAAAAGAAAUCCAUGUUAGAAUGUGUUUCUAUUUAUAACACGUUUAAUACUUUUUUAGUGGACCAUGAUCGAGAUUUUAAUGUUGUAUGUCAAUAUCUAACAUAGAACAAAGCCACUAAAAAUAUCAUAUAAUUGAUAGAGGUAUGUACUUUUGGUAGAUAAUCUGUAAUCAGAUUGCAAAAUAUUGGGAUGUCUAGUUCCUGCAGGAGUGUGUUAUCCUUAGCAAAGAGGAUACUUUUUGAUAUUUCGUAAUUGCCCAGAUGAAAUCAUGGCUAAUGCCUCACACAUCUGUCAUAAAAAAAUAAAAAUAAAAAUAAAAUCUUAAACACAAAGAUUCAUCAUUAUAACCUAAAUUAACAUUGCAUUAUCAUAUUGGAACAGACGAACAGACAAUGGUACUCAAACUCAAGUGUCCCACAUGCUGACAUCCAACAAAUAAAUCAAAGCUACUUAACCAGCCUACUCUUUUCAAAUGGAAUUUGGUGUCUGAAAAAUAAGAAAUUCAAAAAAUUUGCUGCAGAAAUUAUAAAAAAAAAAAAAAAAAAAACAAAAAAAAAACAAAAACAAAAACCAAACACUUAUUAUGUAUUAUCACUUUCAUUCUAAUUGCCACUUCAAGCUCCCUAGCUUUUGACGCAUCAUGAUCAUACUCAUAAAGCCCUGACCAUGAAACCAAAAUCAUUACUUCGACAAAUAAACAUAACCAACAACAAAAACAAUUAAAAUUUUCAAAUGGAUUAUGCCAAAAAUUACCAGCCGAGUUACUGAAGACCAUGAUAUUGAGUCGGAAAUAACAUCGCACAAACCCCAAAAGUUGCACCAAUUCCACACAAAAGUGUUAAAUUGUACGGAAAUUACUACAAUCUGAAUCACUUACAUGGCAGGUGUUCAGCAAGAAUAGCAUUGCUGCAACCAAAAUUGAUACCAAUAACCCGUAUGAAUCUUAUUGAUUAUGAGUACCAAUUCUCUGGAUUGAGCACUACGGGGUAAGAUCUGCACUUAUGGAUAAAAUCAAAUUCAGUUGUAUUUAACCACAGGUGCACCAGAAAAUUAUAAAACCCCAAGUUGAGUUUAAGCAAAACUCAGAUCAAGAUUCUAAGUGGGUUUAUGAAGAAUAAUAUUAAUCAGAAAUUAACACUAUAAAUAAAUAAAAAUAAAAAAUUUGAAAUUUUCAUACCUUUAAGUUUCAAGGUUUUUACUCUGGAAUCCAAGCAAACUCAUAAUAAUUUAAUCAGAAAUUAACACUGAAAAUAAAUAAAAAACACAAAAAAAAUGAAAUUUUCGUACCUCUAAAUUUCUGGGUGUUUACCGUGAAUCCAAUUGAGAACUAAGGGCGCAAAAUGAAGAGAUUCAUCCCUGAGAAAACAUCAAAAACCAAAAUUAAAUGCCAAAGAAGUCAAUCACUGGGAAAACAGCAAAAACCAAAAUCAGACGCCAAAAAUCCAUAAAUUAAAAUAAAAAGUGAAAAUAUGGGUAAACAUUUAAAAAACCAAAUGCCAGUUAUUGGAAAUCUAACUAACCAACAGUCUUUAAAAACAAUAAUAUUGGGCAGUUAGUGUAUCAUACUCGUUUAUUAUGCUAAAGGAUGCAGACACCAAGCUGUAUUUCCACAUAAACUUCCACGAUAUGAAGUUGUGUUUAAUUAAGAAUCAAACUUAAGCGUCAACAUGUAAGUGCUCAUUAAUCAACUCCUCUUUCUUGAACUCUGCAAUCCAUCCUUAGUGUGUUGUAUAAACUUAAAGAUCAAUAACAGCAAAAUGAUCAAACUCCUGGAGACAGAAUCUACCAACCAGUUCUAGUGUAAAGUAAAUCUCCUGUUCCGUCAAACAAAAAGAUGGAUGUUUAUCCCAAUGGUUCAUCAUGCUUAUUUAACCAUUGAUAACCAUCUAAAAACAAAGUACUAAAAAGAGAAUUCGAUCCCGCUUACCAGUCUAUUAGUAACAAAUUUUUCGAUGUACUCUAAACAACGUAAAUCCCGAAACAAAAUCCAAACAAUCAUCACAAUCUCCAGGCCACCAAACAAAACUUCAACCAAAAUCAUUCAAAUUCUGAAACCCCCUGAAAUUUAAACUGCAUAGAAUCCAAUCCAUCACUAACAAAUACCGCAUACACUGCGAACAAAAUCAAACAAUUGAAAUACAAAUCAACAUACAAAUCAACUCUCACAUCAAGAUUAAACUCAGCAAGCGAACUUGCCUGGAGAGUUCGGGUGGCGAACUCGACUCCGAUGAUGGAUUUGGACUCCAAGCAGAACUCAUUCCUGGUAAAUCUAGAGAGAAUGUUAGAUUUGCCCACACCAGAGUCAUGAUCAACACGAUCUUGAACAGGUAGUCGUUUUCGUGGUCUACUCUACUCGCCAUGCCGCCGUCUCUCCUCUCCGAUCUCCACAACCUAUACAAAUAUAUACACACACAAAUUCAAAUCCAUUAAAAAUCACACAAAUACACAAACAAAUAUAUAUAUAUAUAUAUAUCUCUCCCACUGUAACCUAUACAUACACAAACAGUUAUAUCUACAGAUCUCGCUUACCCGGAGGUGAAUCGACCGAGGAGAGAACGUGAUCGGAGCGUUCGAUCUGAAUGCGUUGGAGAGGGAAGCACAGUGGCGGGUUUUGGGGAAGGAGAAAAUGGGAAGAAAUCUGAGUUCAUCUUCCAAUCUCUUCAUGUACCCAUCGAGCUUUGAAGACCUCUGAGAGCCAUCUUUAAUCCAGGUUUGUGCGGUUUUGGUUUUCGGAAGCAGGAGCCAACGGCGACGCUAUUGCAGAGAUCAGGGAGUUGGUGUUGUGGCUGCUAGGGUCUGAGAAAGGGGAAAUGAAGUCCAAAUGGGUGUGUUUCUGUCUCUCUCCCAUCCCUCUCAAUCUCUCAAUCUCUCAAUCUCUCAAUCACCGACACCAACCCUUGAUUUGAGGAGAAAAAUUCAACCCUAACCCCCUUUCAUGGCAGCCUUUACUCCUCCCUGUCCCUUUGCCUCCCUGCCAUCCCACGCCUAUUUCCCUCUCCGUCUCUGCAGCCCAUGCCUUUCGAAAAUGGCAGAUAUGUAAAUAAUGUAAAAUCAAGGGCCCAUCUCACAACAAACUGGCAAAAUUGUAAAUAUAUUGAAAGCUGUUCAGAGACAAUAUUACCCUCCUAAUUUUAUAUAAUUACCCUUCAACUCAGCCACAGAUAUGAUAGCAGUGGCGUAAAUAAAGCAAAAUCAAAGGGCAAACUUUUGACUGUAGCUAAGCUACAGUCAAAUCCUUCCUCAAUUUUAGAAUAGACUAGAAAAUAUGCCCGCGCUUUGCUGCGGGACCAGGAAUGCACAAGCCUUAACUGCAUAAUAAGACACACUUAACCUGAAUAAAUUAAACAUAAUCCUGAAAGAACAGAGGAAUAGAGGAGUGACACAUUUUCUUGAUUUUUCUUGUAAUACUCAAAGCUUCCUGUCCAAAACCAAAUAAUUUGUACCAUUUUACAUGCUUAUGCAACAUAUGCCUUACACUGGAAAAACAUCAAAAAUCGAAUACAAAUUUGUAAAUCAUUGAUGGAUUUUGUUUUACAUUUUUAUAAUCAAAUCAAGUGGCAGUGUAGCACUUAAAAUUACAAACUUGAAGCAACCAGAGAGCAUAAAUUAAGAUGUAGAGAUAUCCUCAAACUUGCAUCAUAUUGUAUGGAAGCUAACCGUUGAGGUUUGUGAAGCAAACUGCGGCAUAAGUUGCAGUCAAUUGAACAAAAACAUAGUAGUUUAAGAUGAAAUGGAUUCAUAGUUUUCAUGUAUGACACAAACUUAUAUUAUUCCAUAAGUCAACUUAAUAUCAUUCUACAAAGUGAACUUAUAAUGCGUACUUGUCGACAGAUAGGGCAAUGCCACAAUGAAGGCAUAUGGCGAAACUUAGUAACCUAUAACAUUCAUUGCACUUUGUAGCCGAUAUGAUUUUGCCUAUUUGAUGGCAUCUGCUAACACAAAAAAGACCACGGAAGUGAUGCCAAGUCUACUUUGAUUCUUAUAUCAUGCGAUAAAUAGAAUAGAUAGAUGAUGUUUUCCAUAUCAAUAGUAUACCAAGAAAUGUAAAGGACACAACACAGUAGCUUACUAAUACAAAAGAUUAAAUGAAUUAAAUGAACUAUAAAUGGACCAGUGGUUAAUCGAACAAAUUCAAUACAACUGAAUCACAUUCUAAUUUUACGCUACGCACUAUAUUGCCAAGAAAAGUGCCCAUAUUACUAUGAACGUAAGAAAAAUGAGUUAGCACUAUCCACAAAUCAUUUUGCUAAAUGAAACGCCUAGAAUCUAUUCAUUUCAAGUAAGUAAAAAUUUAGAACAGGGAGAUGGAGAUAUCGGACGUUGAAAAGUGAUUAAAUUGCCUUCUUAACAAUCGAUUUAACCUAUAUACACCUACAGGUAUCAAAUUCGAUCUUAGAUAAAAAUAAAGCUGCUGAUGAGAUAACUGAUUCCUGGUGUGAGUUAUCACUUCUACUUUUUAUGGCAACGAUUACUUGAAGUUCUCAUGCAUACUCAAUUGAUGAAUAAUAUCGACAACACAUCCACCAUUUCAGAAGGGUUAUUACUAAAGGUCUUGAUAAGCAUUCUGAGAAGAAACCAUUCUAGUAUAUGUGUGUAGUAUAUGUAUUUGUGGGUGUUUAUCUGAGUCCAUCAUUCGUUUGUGCUAUGAGUAUUUAGGCGUGUAAGUUCGUGUGUGUAUUUGCCAAAAAAAUAUGAUUUUUACUUCCAGUCGAUCAAUAAAAAUUUAUUAAAAUAUAACACUACUUGGUUUUGAGACUCCUAGAAUUGGCAAAUAAAAAAAUAAAAAAAGACUCCUAGUAUUCUCCCAAUGUUAAGAUUUAAUAUUCAUUUUUGCUUGGCUUAAUGAUAAUUUCUAUCAAUUGAUCAUUGGUCUAACGAAUCUCCACAUUCGUUGCAACCCCCAAGGUAAACUACCCCUCCUGGCGGAUACCAACACCCUAAUAAACAUGGUUAUAAAUAUUUGUCUCAUCUAUGAUAUAUUUGGUACUGUUAUAGAUAGAGAGAUUAAUAAAAGACCUCUCUCAAUGUUACUGUGUCAUAGUAAUAAUUUAUAUUACUUCUUUUAUUAUAACCAAACCUAUACCAGUUUGUAAUAUUCAACCAACUUUAAACCUUUUGGAUUAGAACACGGGCAAAUGAAAAAAUAAGUUAAUGCAAAUUCUUUAGCACCUCAACUUGCAAAACAUUUGCAAAAAUUUUGAGAUCUAUCACAAACAAAACAAUGUCGAAACCAAAGCUGCUAACUCCCAACACAAUCAAAACUACAUAUAGGAAAAAGGAAAUGAAGCUUAAAAAACUUAAAUUAGGGAAAAGAGUUGGAGAAGCAACAACUGACAU
rnacentral:lncRNA from 1 species